rnacentral:rRNA from 1 species
GUAGGGAAUCUUCGGCAAUGGACGAAAGUCUGACCGAGCAACGCCGCGUGAGUGAAGAAGGUUUUCGGAUCGUAAAACUCUGUUGGUAGAGAAGAACGUUGGUGAGAGUGGAAAGCUCAUCAAGUGACGGUAUCUAACCAGAAAGGGACGGCUAACUACGUGCCAGCAGCCGCGGUAAUACGUAGGUCCCAAGCGUUGUCCGGAUUUAUUGGGCGUAAAGCGAGCGCAGGUGGUUUCUUAAGUCUGGUGUAAAAGGCAGUGGCUCAACCAUUGUAUGCAUUGGAAACUGGUAGACUUGAGUGCAGGAGAGGAGAGUGGAAUUCCAUGUGUAGCGGUGAAAUGCGUAGAUAUAUGGAGGAACACCGGUGGCGAAAGCGGCUCUCUGGCCUGUAACUGACACUGAGGCUCGAAAGCGUGGGGAGCAAACAGGAUUAGAAACCCUUGUAGUCC